GUCAAGCAAUUAAGCGUACGUGGUGGAUGCCUUGGCAAUUAGAGGCGAUGAAGGACGUGGUAGGCCACGAAAGUCCUCGGGGAGCAGUCAAACAUGCUUUGAUCCGGGGGUAUCCGAAUGGGGAAACCCACCUAAUUUAUUAGGUAUCGCACACUGAAUACAUAGGUGUGCGAGGCGAACGCGGAGAACUGAAACAUCUAAGUACCCGCAGGAAAAGAAAUCAACCG
rnacentral:rRNA from 1 species